CAGAGACUGCUGCUGCUAGAGGAGAGUGUGCACGAGUUAGGAAAUGAUUUAGCACGAGUUAAGCUAAUGGUGUGCGUACUAGUGGUGAUAGCUUUGCUAUUCUUCGUUCUACGUGGAGUUCUUUCAAAGGCUUCAAACGGGACUAUUCUAUCACCUCACGAGUGGCCAAAUAAGUCAGGUUAGGUGAAGUAGUCACGGGCGUCUAAGUGUUUUGGUCUUUAGCAAGAUGAAGUAGUCACGGAUACAUUUGGAGUAGUGAGAGCAUUUUGGAUUGUAGCUCCAGCUCACAAGUGACGGGGUAGUUGUUUUCCACUUUUAGGUACUAUAAGUACUCGGCCAUGUAAUAGCUCUCUAUGUUUCUCAUUGUACUAAACAUCAGAAAGCUUUGUAAUAUUUGUGAACCAAGAUCUCCUUCUACUCUUGUAA